rnacentral:misc_RNA from 1 species
GGGGCAGUGGGACAAGCGAUGCUGGAAAGUUUCCAGGAAUGCGUGAGCGUGCUUGAUGAAUCGGUUCAUCGCAGGGCAGCGAAUUCCAGCCAUUCUGUCCUCGAGGUGUCCAGACUUGCUAAGUGACAGCAUUAGCCAUUAUGUUGUCAGCUUGUAGUUUGAAGUGGAAAUGGGGGAAGAGUCCAGGAGCUUGGGAUUUUCAUCCAGAUCAGCCUUUGAAGUGUGGGGCUUUAAAAUGAGAGGGUACUUUGUUUAGCCUCAUACACCAGUAAAUGACACAAGACAUUUGGUUGUUAUCAAUACAGCAUAAUAAAGUUGUGAUUUUAAGCCAAGAAACACCAACAGAUUAUUUGAUAAACCUGAUGAAUAUUAUGAAGUAUUAUGAUCAUUGAUAAAAUAUAACAAAGUC